rnacentral:rRNA from 1 species
CAGUAGCCGCGGUAAAACGUAGGUGGCAAGCGUUGUCCGGAAUUAUUGGGCGUAAAGGGCUCGCAGGCGGUUUCUUAAGUCUGAUGUGAAAGCCCCCGGCUCAACCGGGGAGGGUCAUUGGAAACUGGGAAACUUGAGUGCAGAAGAGGAGAGUGGAAUUCCACGUGUAGCGGUGAAAUGCGUAGAGAUGUGGAGGAACACCAGUGGCGAAGGCGACUCUCUGGUCUGUAACUGACGCUGAGGAGCGAAAGCGUGGGGAGCGAACAGGAUUAGAUACCCUCGUAGUCCCUGUCUCUUAUAC